rnacentral:misc_RNA from 1 species
GGAGUCAACGUGGAUGAAGUUGAGGUGAGUGAUAAUCCAUGUGUCUAGUCUUACAUCCAUAUUACUCUUCUGCAUCUAACACAUAAUCCAAAAAAUUAUUUUCCCCUAAAGCCUAUUCUAAGCUAUGUUGCUUGAACUCUUCAAAAUGACAUUGAAUACGAGGUGAAUCCCCCCAAUACCGGGCUGGAAGCUUGGGGCGAGAUUCACCUUCAAUACCAAGGGAGGCAG